rnacentral:rRNA from 1 species
GACGAACGCUGGCGGCGUGCCUAACACAUGCAAGUCGAGCGGAGCUAGUAGCAAUAUUAGCUUAGCGGCGGACGGGUGAGUAACGCGUGGGCAACCUACCUUCUACAGGGGGAUAACACAGGGAAACUUGUGCUAAUACCGCAUAACAUACUUAAGGGACGUCCCUUGGGUAUCAAAGGAGCAAUCCGGUAGAAGAUGGGCCCGCGUCCGAUUAGCUAGUUGGAGGUGUAACGGACCACCAAGGCGACGAUCGGUAGCCGAACUGAGAGGUUGAUCGGCCACAUUGGGACUGAGACACGGCCCAGACUCCUACGGGAGGCAGCAGUGGGGAAUAUUGCGCAAUGGGGGAAACCCUGACGCAGCAACGCCGCGUGAAGGAUGAAGGUCUUCGGAUUGUAAACUUCUUUAGUCGGGGACGAAGAAAUGACGGUACCCGAAAAAUAAGCCACGGCUAACUACGUGCCAGCCGCCGCAGUAA